UACAGAGGGUGCGAGCGUUGUUCGGAAUUAUUGGGCGUAAAGGGCGCGUAGGCGGUGCCACAAGUCACUUGUGAAAUCUCCGGGCUUAACUCGGAGCCUGCAGGCGAAACUGUGGUGCUGGAGUGUGGGAGAGGUGCGUGGAAUUCCCGGUGUAGCGGUGGAAAUGCGUAGAUAUCGGGGAGGAACACCUGUGGCGAAAGCGGCGCACUGGACCAUAACUGACGCUGAGGCGCGAAAGCUAGGGGAGCAAACAGG
rnacentral:rRNA from 1 species